rnacentral:sRNA from 1 species
CUGUAUCUGGCUGUGUCGGAUUGGAUUUUUUCGUUUCUAACCAUUUUACACAGAAUUCCUGAUGUGGUAAAGAGACAUAUUCCUCCAUACUCUCAGUUUGAGGUGACCUAAAUAGCUGUUGGCUUUUGCGAGAUGGUUGUCUGUUUUUCUGGAUAGUGACGCAUUGUUGGAUACUGAGCUGUCCAGGUAUAUGUACCAUGAAUAUCACAAGUGAUGAAGGCACACACAAUUUACUCGAUGUCAGUGACACAAUCUAUACUGCCUUUGACAUUUUGAUUAACUGUUUUUUAGCACAAGCGUUGGCU